AGAUUGAACGCUGGCGGCAGGCCUAACACAUGCAAGUCGAGCGGUAGAGAGGUGCUUGCACCUCUUGAGAGCGGCGGACGGGUGAGUAAUGCCUAGGAAUCUGCCUAGUGGUGGGGGAUAACGUUCGGAAACGGACGCUAAUACCGCAUACGUCCUACGGGAGAAAGCGGGGGACCUUCGGGCCUCGCGCCAUUAGAUGAGCCUAGGUCGGAUUAGCUAGUUGGUGAGGUAAUGGCUCACCAAGGCGACGAUCCGUAACUGGUCUGAGAGGAUGAUCAGUCACACUGGAACUGAGACACGGUCCAGACUCCUACGGGAGGCAGCAGUGGGGGAAUAUUGGACAAUGGGCGAAAGCCUGAUCCAGC
rnacentral:rRNA from 1 species